AAAUUGAAGAGUUUGAUCAUGGCUCAGAUUGAACGCUGGCGGCAGGCCUAACACAUGCAAGUCGAACGGUAACAGGAAGCAGCUUGCUGCUUCGCUGACGAGUGGCGGACGGGUGAGUAAUGUCUGGGAAACUGCCUGAUGGAGGGGGAUAACUACUGGAAACGGUAGCUAAUACCGCAUAACGUCGCAAGACCAAAGAGGGGGACCUUCGGGCCUCUUGCCAUCGGAUGUGCCCAGAUGGGAUUAGCUUGUUGGUGGGGUAACGGCUCACCAAGGCGACGAUCCCUAGCUGGUCUGAG
rnacentral:rRNA from 1 species